UGUCAACUAAUUUAAAAUUAAAAUACUACUCUUUCAACGUAGUUAUCCCAUUAGGGUUUGACAA
rnacentral:tRNA from 1 species